rnacentral:rRNA from 1 species
GACGAACGCUGGCGGCGUGCUUAACACAUGCAAGUCGAACGGAAAGGCCCUGCUUUUGUGGGGUGCUCGAGUGGCGAACGGGUGAGUAACACGUGAGUAACCUGCCCUUGACUUUGGGAUAACUUCAGGAAACUGGGGCUAAUACCGGAUAGGAGCUCCUGCUGCAUGGUGGGGGCUGGAAAGUUUCGGCGGUUGGGGAUGGACGUGCGGCUUAUCAGCUUGUUGGUGGGGUAGUGGCUUACCAAGGCUUGGACGGGUAGCCGGCCUGAGAGGGUGACCGGCCACAUUGGGACUGAGAUACGGCCCAGACUCCUACGGGAGGCAGCAGUGGGGAAUAUUGCACGAUGGGCGGAAGCCUGAUGCAGCAACGCCGCGUGCGGGAUGACUGCCUUCGGGUUGUAAACCGCUUUCGCCUGUGACGAAGCGUGAGUGACGGUAAUGGGUAAAGAAGCACCGGCUAACUACGUG